GAUGAAGAACGCAGCGAAAUGUGAUACUUGGUGUGAAUUGCAGAAUCCCGUGAACCAUCGAGUCUUUGAACGCAAGUUGCGCCCGAAGCCAUUAGGCCGAGGGCACGCCUGCCUGGGCGUCACACGUCGUUGCCCCCCCAUCUACUCCUUCGGGAUUGCGGGGGGCGGAUGAUGGCCUCUCGUGCGCCUCGUCGCGCGGUUGGCCUAAAUGCCAAGUCCUCGGCGACGCACGCCACGACAAUCGGUGGUUGCGAACCCUCGGUUGCCUGUCGUGUGCGGUCGUCGCGCAUCGAGGGCUCGAAAAAAUUGCCGGGCUUCGGCUCGACUUUCAACGCGACCCCAGGUCAGGCGGGGUUACCCGCUGAAUUUAAGCAUAUCAAUAAGCGGAGGA
rnacentral:misc_RNA from 1 species